GGUUUGGUCUAGGGGUAUGAUUCCUGCUUCGGGUGCAGGAGGUCCCGGGUUCAAAUCCCGG
rnacentral:ncRNA from 11 species